UGCACGCUCCUUAGAUCCACUCUCGGGGCAGUGUGCUACAUGCUCGUGUGUAGUGUCUGACCCAGCAACCUUGUGUUGUACAGUCGAGAGUGCUUGAGUCAUUGGUGUGCUAGAUCAGUAUACCUGACAUGGCAGACUUUGGAUCUGGACUAGGCAGACUCUCAUGUCUGUUUGUGCCAUGAUUUGGCUGUCACUUCGGACAAU